rnacentral:rRNA from 1 species
UACAGAGGUCUCAAGCGUUGUUCGGAUUCAUUGGGCGUAAAGGGUGCGUAGGUGGCUUGGUAAGUUCGAUGUGAAAUCUCCGGGCUUAACCCGGAAAUGGCAUUGAAUACUAUUGAGCUGGAGGUUUGGAGGGGGGACUGGAAUUCUCGGUGUAGCAGUGAAAUGCGUAGAUAUCGUGAGGAAGACCAGUGGCGAAGGCGGGUCUCUGGACAGUUCCUGACACUGAGGCACGAAGGCCAGGGGAGCAAACGGG